UGCGGAAGGAUCAUUACCGAGUGCGGGCCCUCGUGGCCCAACCUCCCACCCUUGUCUCUAUACACCUGUUGCUUUGGCGGGCCCACCGGGGCCACCUGGUCGCCGGGGGACAUCUGUCCCCGGGCCCGCGCCCGCCGAAGCGCUCUGUGAACCCUGAUGAAGAUGGGCUGUCUGAGUACUAUGAAAAUUGUCAAAACUUUCAACAAUGGAUCUCUUGGUUCCGGCAUCGAUGAAGAACGCAGCGAAAUGCGAUAAGUAAUGUGAAUUGCAGAAUUCCGUGAAUCAUCGAAUCUUUGAACGCACAUUGCGCCCCCUGGCAUUCCGGGGGGCAUGCCUGUCCGAGCGUCAUUUCUGCCCUCAAGCACGGCUUGUGUGUUGGGUGCGGUCCCCCCGGGGACCUGCCCGAAAGGCAGCGGCGACGUCCGUCUGGUCCUCGAGCGUAUGGGGCUUUGUCACUCGCUCGGGAAGGACUGGCGGGGGUUGGUCACCACCAAAAUUUUACCACGGUUGACCUCGGAUCAGGUAGGAGUUACCCGCUGAACUUAAGCAUAUCAAUAAGCGGAGGAAAAGAAACCAACCGGGAUUGCCUCAGUAACGGCGAGUGAAGCGGCAAGAGCU
rnacentral:rRNA from 1 species